UUAAGCGACUAAGCGUACACGGUGGAUGCCCUGGCAGUCAGAGGCGAUGAAGGACGUGCUAAUCUGCGAUAAGCGCCGGUAAGGUGAUAUGAACCGUUAUAACCGGCGAUUUCCGAAUGGGGAAACCCAGUGUGACUCGUCACACUAUCAUUAACUGAAUCCAUAGGUUAAUGAGGCGAACCGGGGGAACUGAAACAUCUAAGUACCCCGAGGAAAAGAAAUCAACCGAGAUUCCCCCAGUAGCGGCGAGCGAACGGGGAGGAGCCCAGAGCCUGAAUCAGCAUGUGUGUUAGUGGAAGCGUCUGGAAAGGCGCGCGAUACAGGGUGACAGCCCCGUACACAAAAGCGCAUAUGCUGUGAGCUCGAUGAGUAGGGCGGGACACGUGGUAUCCUGUCUGAAUAUGGGGGGACCAUCCUCCAAGGCUAAAUACUCCUGACUGACCGAUAGUGAACCAGUACCGUGAGGGAAAGGCGAAAAGAACCCCGGCGAGGGGAGUGAAAAAGAACCUGAAACCGUGUACGUACAAGCAGUGGGAGCACCCUUUUGGGUGUGACUGCGUACCUUUUGUAUAAUGGGUCAGCGACUUAUAUUCUGUAGCAAGGUUAACCGAAUAGGGGAGCCGGAGGGAAACCGAGUCUUAAUUGGGCGUUAAGUUGCAGGGUAUAGACCCGAAACCCGGUGAUCUAGCCAUGGGCAGGUUGAAGGUUGGGUAACACUAACUGGAGGACCGAACCGACUAAUGUUGAAAAAUUAGCGGAUGACCUGUGGCUGGGGGUGAAAGGCCAAUCAAACCGGGAGAUAGCUGGUUCUCCCCGAAAGCUAUUUAGGUAGCGCCUCGUGAAUUCAUCUCCGGGGGUAGAGCACUGUUUCGGCUAGGGGGCCAUCCCGGCUUACCAACCCGAUGCAAACUGCGAAUACCGGAGAAUGUUAUCACGGGAGACACACGGCGGGUGCUAACGUCCGUCGUGAAGAGGGAAACAACCCAGACCGCCAGCUAAGGUCCCAAAGUCAUGGUUAAGUGGGAAACGAUGUGGGAAGGCCCAGACAGCCAGGAUGUUGGCUUAGAAGCAGCCAUCAUUUAAAGAAAGCGUAAUAGCUCACUGGUCGAGUCGGCCUGCGCGGAAGAUGUAACGGGGCUAAACCAUGCACCGAAGCUGCGGCAGCGACGCUUAUGCGUUGUUGGGUAGGGGAGCGUUCUGUAAGCCUGUGAAGGUGGCCUGUGAGGGUUGCUGGAGGUAUCAGAAGUGCGAAUGCUGACAUAAGUAACGAUAAAGCGGGUGAAAAGCCCGCUCGCCGGAAGACCAAGGGUUCCUGUCCAACGUUAAUCGGGGCAGGGUGAGUCGACCCCUAAGGCGAGGCCGAAAGGCGUAGUCGAUGGGAAACGGGUUAAUAUUCCCGUACUUGGUGUUACUGCGAAGGGGGGACGGAGAAGGCUAUGUUGGCCGGGCGACGGUUGUCCCGGUUUAAGCGUGUAGGUGUGUGUUCCAGGUAAAUCCGGUUCACUUUAACACUGAGGCGUGACGACGAGGCACUACGGUGCUGAAGCAACAAAUGCCCUGCUUCCAGGAAAAGCCUCUAAGCAUCAGGUAACACGAAAUCGUACCCCAAACCGACACAGGUGGUCAGGUAGAGAAUACCAAGGCGCUUGAGAGAACUCGGGUGAAGGAACUAGGCAAAAUGGUGCCGUAACUUCGGGAGAAGGCACGCUGACAUGUAGGUGAAGUGAUUUACUCAUGGAGCUGAAGUCAGUCGAAGAUACCAGCUGGCUGCAACUGUUUAUUAAAAACACAGCACUGUGCAAACACGAAAGUGGACGUAUACGGUGUGACGCCUGCCCGGUGCCGGAAGGUUAAUUGAUGGGGUCAGCGCAAGCGAAGCUCCUGAUCGAAGCCCCGGUAAACGGCGGCCGUAACUAUAACGGUCCUAAGGUAGCGAAAUUCCUUGUCGGGUAAGUUCCGACCUGCACGAAUGGCGUAAUGAUGGCCAGGCUGUCUCCACCCGAGACUCAGUGAAAUUGAACUCGCUGUGAAGAUGCAGUGUACCCGCGGCAAGACGGAAAGACCCCGUGAACCUUUACUAUAGCUUGACACUGAACAUUGAGCCUUGAUGUGUAGGAUAGGUGGGAGGCUUUGAAGUGUGGACGCCAGUCUGCAUGGAGCCGACCUUGAAAUACCACCCUUUAAUGUUUGAUGUUCUAACGUGGACCCGUGAUCCGGGUUGCGGACAGUGUCUGGUGGGUAGUUUGACUGGGGCGGUCUCCUCCUAAAGAGUAACGGAGGAGCACGAAGGUUGGCUAAUCCUGGUCGGACAUCAGGAGGUUAGUGCAAUGGCAUAAGCCAGCUUGACUGCGAGCGUGACGGCGCGAGCAGGUGCGAAAGCAGGUCAUAGUGAUCCGGUGGUUCUGAAUGGAAGGGCCAUCGCUCAACGGAUAAAAGGUACUCCGGGGAUAACAGGCUGAUACCGCCCAAGAGUUCAUAUCGACGGCGGUGUUUGGCACCUCGAUGUCGGCUCAUCACAUCCUGGGGCUGAAGUAGGUCCCAAGGGUAUGGCUGUUCGCCAUUUAAAGUGGUACGCGAGCUGGGUUUAGAACGUCGUGAGACAGUUCGGUCCCUAUCUGCCGUGGGCGCUGGAGAACUGAGGGGGGCUGCUCCUAGUACGAGAGGACCGGAGUGGACGCAUCACUGGUGUUCGGGUUGUCAUGCCAAUGGCACUGCCCGGUAGCUAAAUGCGGAAGAGAUAAGUGCUGAAAGCAUCUAAGCACGAAACUUGCCCCGAGAUGAGUUCUCCCUGAGACUUAGAGUCUCCUGAAGGAACGUUGAAGACGACGACGUUGAUAGGCCGGGUGUGUAAGCGCAGCGAUGCGUUGAGCUAACCGGUACUAAUGAACCGUGAGGCUUAACCUU
rnacentral:rRNA from 1 species